rnacentral:rRNA from 1 species
AACCGCUGAAAGCAUCUAAGCGGGAAACUUGCCUCAAGAUGAGAUCUCACUGGGAACUUGAUUCCCCUGAAGGGCCGUCGAAGACUACGACGUUGAUAGGCUGGGUGUGUAAGCGUUGUGAGGCGUUGAGCUAACCAGUACUAAUUGCCCGUGAGGCUUGACCAUAUAACACCCAAACA